rnacentral:rRNA from 1 species
UUGGCUUUUAAUUGUAGUCAUGUAUGAAUGGACUAACAGGGUUUAGCUGUCUCUUAUCCAUUUUAUUAAAAUUACUAUAUAGGUGAAAAAGCCUAAAUGUUCAAAAAAGACGAGAAGACCCUUAGAGUUUAUCUGAAUUUAGUUUAUUACUAAAUUUGUUUAGUUGGGGCAACAAAGGAAAAUAAACAUCCUUUUUAUAUAAAUCGGUUAUUACAGUUAAGUUAAAACUACCUUAGGGAUAACAGCAUAAUUUUAUAAGUAAGUUUGUGACCUCGAUGUUGGACUAGGAAGUUUAAUGGUUAGAUGUUAUUAAAUUUGGUUCUGUUCGAACUUGAUUUCCU